rnacentral:rRNA from 1 species
AACGAACGCUGGCGGCAGGCUUAACACAUGCAAGUCGAACGGGCGUAGCAAUACGUCAGUGGCAGACGGGUGAGUAACACGUGGGAACCUUCCUCGUAGUACGGGACAACUCAGGGAAACUUGAGCUAAUACCGUAUACGUCCGAGAGGAGAAAGAGUUAUCGCUAUGAGACGGGCCCGCGUCCGAGUAGGUAGUUGGUGGGGUAACGGCCUACCAAGCCGACGAUCGGUAGCUGAUCGGAGAGGAUGAUUAGCCUCACUGGGACUGAGACACGGCCCAGACUCCUACGGGAGGCAGCAGUGGGGAAUCUUGGACAAUGGGGGCAAGCCUGAUCCAGCCAUGCCGCGUGAGUGAAGAAGGCCUUAGGGUUGUAAAGCUCUUUUGCCAGGGACGAUAAUGACGGUACCUGGAGAAUAAGCCCCGGCAAACUUCGUGCCAGCCGCCGCCGUAAUAC